rnacentral:rRNA from 1 species
GUGAGGAAUAUUGGUCAAUGGGCGAGAGCCUGAACCAGCCAAGUCGCGUGAAGGAAGAAGGAUCUAUGGUUCGUAAACUUCUUUUGCAGGGGAAUAAAGUGCAGGACGUGUCCUGUUUUGUAUGUACCCUGAGAAUAAGGAUCGGCUAACUCCGUGCCAGCAGCCGCGGUAAUACGGAGGAUCCGAGCGUUAUCCGGAUUCAUUGGGUUUAAAGGGUGCGUAGGCGGACUAUUAAGUCAGUGGUGAAAUCCUGCAGCUUAACUGCAGAACUGCCAUUGAUACUGAUAGCCUUGAGUUUGGUUAAGGUAGGCGGAAUGUGUAAUGUAGCGGUGAAAUGCUUAGAUAUUACACAGAACACCAAUUGCGUAGGCAGCUUACUGAGCCGACACUGACGCUGAGGCACGAAAGCGUGGGGAUCGAACAGGAUUAGAUACCCCAGUAGUCC